rnacentral:rRNA from 1 species
CAAUAGCGUAUAUUUAAGUUGUUGCAGUUAAAAAGCUCGUAGUUGGAUUUCGGGUGGGACGCAGCGGUCUCGCAUUGCGUUUGUACUGCUGCAGCCCUCCUUCUUGCCGGGGGCGGCCUCUCGGACUUCACUGUCUGGGGGUCAGAAUCGGCGAUGUUACUUUGAGUAAAUUAGAGUGUUCAAAGCAAGCUUACGCUGUGAAUAUAAUAGCAUGGGAUAACACGACAGGACUCUGGCCUAUCGUGUUGGUCUAUAGGACCAGAGUAAUGAUUAAGAGGGACAGUCGGGGGCAUUCGUAUUCCGUUGUCAGAGGUGAAAUUCUUGGAUUUACGGAAGACGAACAUCUGCGAAAGCAUUUGCCAAGGAUGUUUNCAUUGA